rnacentral:rRNA from 1 species
AUUGAACGCUGGCGGCAUGCCUUACACAUGCAAGUCGAACGGCAGCAUGAUCUAGCUUGCUAGAUUGAUGGCGAGUGGCGAACGGGUGAGUAAUACAUCGGAACGUGCCCUGUAGUGGGGGAUAACUAGUCGAAAGAUUAGCUAAUACCGCAUACGACCUGAGGGUGAAAGUGGGGGACCGCAAGGCCUCAUGCUAUAGGAGCGGCCGAUGUCUGAUUAGCUAGUUGGCGGGGUAAAGGCCCACCAAGGCGACGAUCAGUAGCUGGUCUGAGAGGACGAUCAGCCACACUGGGACUGAGACACGGCCCAGACUCCUACGGGAGGCAGCAGUGGGGAAUUUUGGACAAUGGGCGAAAGCCUGAUCCAGCAAUGCCGCGUGUGUGAAGAAGGCCUUCGGGUUGUAAAGCACUUUUGUCCGGAAAGAAAUGGCUCUGGUUAAUACCUGGGGUCGAUGACGGUACCGGAAGAAUAAGGACCGGCUAACUACGUGCCAGCAGCCGCGGUAAUACGUAGGGUCCAAGCGUUAAUCGGAAUUACUGGGCGUAAAGCGUGCGCAGGCGGUUGUGCAAGACCGAUGUGAAAUCCCCGAGCUUAACUUGGGAAUUGCAUUGGUGACUGCACGGCUAGAGUGUGUCAGAGGGGGGUAGAAUUCCACGUGUAGCAGUGAAAUGCGUAGAGAUGUGGAGGAAUACCGAUGGCGAAGGCAGCCCCCUGGGAUAACACUGACGCUCAUGCACGAAAGCGUGGGGAGCAAACAGGAUUAGAUACCCUGGUAGUCCACGCCCUAAACGAUGUCGACUAGUUGUUGGGGAAUUCAUUUCCCUUAGUAACGUAGCU